UUAGAUUAAUACACGCAGCCAAUUUUA
rnacentral:sRNA from 1 species